UUUCGAUUUUAGACAACUCCUUUGGGUUCGACAUCCUUGCUUACACAAUCACUAUUCUAUAUGAACGAUUCGUGCGCUUGCGAUUUAUAAAUUUUUAAACAUACCCGUUUUGGGUCCACCAAACCACGUCGAUUUUCUGCAGAUUUCAAAGUUUCAAAUCUGAAAAAAAUUGCAAAAAAAACUCAAAAAUCAUAGAUCUGUUCGAAAUGUAGUAUUUUAGUAGCCUAAAGUGGGAAUACUUGCCGUUACAUUGAUUUCUAUUAUAUUUUUACCUUACCCAUGAAUUUUUUUUUUCUAGAGAGGGAGUUGAGAGGAAUGGGUUGAGGGAGAGAGAGGUUAGAAGAGGAAGUGAAUGAGAAAAAUUAUGAGAAUGGUAUUUUGGGUAUUGUAAAAAGAAUUGGUAUUUUUUUGAAAUGAUUUAAAUGCCUAAUAUUUUUUUUGACUUAGAACCCUCAUUAAGCAUAAAAACUCAAAUUUCCUUUGUCAUAUUCUACAUGACAUGUGUUGUGUAUUAGUUAGGGAAAUUUGAGUUUUAAUGCAAUAAGUGACACUACAUUUGAAAAAUACCCUAUCCCUAUAAGACUCUCGUUUUGGUGCUACUAAUGACGUUACUACCCAAAAUACCCCUGGCAUAAUUUUAUCAAACUCUCCGUAUUCUCUCCCAAAAUACCCGAACCAAGCAAACUUUGAAAUCGAUAGGCCUCGAUUGAAUCCGUAGAACCCAACCUUCAUUGUCUUCCACGACCACGAACAAGGGCUCCCAAAGGGUCGGACUUGACGAUCGGAGAAGGGGAAGGAGAAAACGUCGAGCAAGCCGACCAAACUUUUAGGAAACAACCUCAAAGAAAGCGAAGGUGAGAGAUUUUGUUUUUAAUCUAAAAUAUGUGUAUGUGCCUGGUUUUUUUUGUUGAUUUUUGUUCAUAGGAUAGAUCGGGGUUGGGAAUGAAGAAAUCUGGGUUUUUUUCGAUAUUUUUCAUGAAACUCGAUAGAAAUCGAUAGGACUCGAUAGUAUAGGAUAGGGACUGGAUUAGACUGUGCCUCAAUAGGCCUCGAUAGGAAUCGAUAGGACUCGAUGAUACAAGGCUUUGGGAAUUUUUAGAACCUACCUCGAUAGGAAUCAAUAGGACUCGAUAGGACUCGAUGAUACACAGCUUUGGGAAUUUUUAGAACCUACCUCGAUAGAAAUCGAUAAGACUCGAUGAUACACGGCUUUGGGAAUUUUUUAGAACCUACCUCGAUAGGAAUCGAUAAGACUCGAUGAUACACGACUUUGGGAUUUUUAGGACCCACCUCAAUAGGAAUCGAUAGGCCUCGAUAGGGCUCGAUAUUACUAGACUUUGGUUUUUUUUUGCCUUACCUCGAUAGGCCUCAAUAGUAACCCGAUGAUAUUAUUCUUUGUGAUUUUGGAACCCACCUCGAUAGGCAUCGAUAAGACUCGAUAGUUUCUGCCUCGAUGAGACUCGAUAGGCCUCGAUAGUAACUGCCUUACCAGAUUGUUUUACAUUUUUAACAUUUUUUUUGUUUUUUUUUUCCAGAUGCCUGACCUUAUUGUGCCGUUGUAGAAACACUUUCCUGGCCAUGUCACUUAUAGGGGUAGUGCCUACUUGGAUACCCUUAUAGAGCAGUUUAAGAGGUAUGGUCUUAUUGAAAGGGCACAGGCAUGCCCGUUGGGACAGUUCUUUAAGGCGAAGCCGUUUAGUUUUUCUGGGGUUCUGCUGCAUCAGCUAAUGUUGCGUAAGGUAGAAAGUAAGAAGCCUGAAGAGGGUCAGUUCUACCUGGGCAACACUCUGUGUAGAUUUGGUAUUGCAGAGUUUGCCCUAGUUACCGGGCUAAAUUUUGGGAAAUCACCGUCCCCUGAUGAAUUGAAAGAGCAUCUUUCAAGUGAUCGGAUCAUCCAGGAAUAUUUUAAUGGUGAUUCGAAGGUUAGUUUUUGUCAGUUGGAAGAUGCAUUGAAGGCCUCCACAAACCCAGAAGAUGCAUUUAAGCUGGGUUUGUGCUAUUUGAUAGAGGGGGUACUGAAUGCCCCAGAGAAGACAACAACGAUAUGGGGAGAUUCCUUGAGGAUGGUUGAGGAUAUUGAUUACUUUUUCAAGUAUCCUUGGGGGAAGCUGUCAUUUAAGAAGGUUAGCAAAGGAGUUCAAAAGGACAUGAAGAAGCAAUUGAAACACUACGAGGAGAAGAAGAAAGAGGGGUCAAGAAAAAAACAGAAGGAGGCGAAGUAUAGUUUCAAUUGCUAUGCACCCGCGCUUCUUUACUAGGCUUUUGAGGCCAUGCCUUCUCUCGGGAGUAAGUUCGGUGAGAACAGUGGGAAUCAUUUCGAGGAUGCUUAGCUGGGCUACGAAGAUUGAUAUCACUAUUUCGACAACUCUGUUGGUUCCUAUAUUUGCCAAUCGUCGAUUAGUGGUAUUUUCCAUGCUGAAGCCACGUCCCGGUGAGGUAGUCUACUACAAUAGCCUCCCAGAAGUUGAUUCCAAGUUAUUCCCUGAGUUGGAAUCAAUUGUGGGGGAGGCUGGGACUGCAGUGGAUGAAGUAGUGGUACCUGAGAAGGAGGCAGAGAAGCUAGCAAAAGUUGCAAAGGAAGCCUCCAUUUUUUAUGAGGAUGUCCCGAGGGUUGAGGAGGGCACUUCACAGGCCUGUGCAGCUUCAUCUAGUCAGGUUGUCCAGCCUGAUUAUGAGCAAUUGAUGCAGAGGCUCAACAGGGUUGAGAAGGGCCAGGCAACCUUACUACAGAAUCAGACCACGAUCAUGGCUCAGUUGGCGCAGCUACUUUCACUGGUCUCAGGUCGAUCCACCGACGUAAAAUCAGAUACAGAGUCUGAUAUCUUGCCUGCAGACUACGAGCGCGGUGAUCAACCCUCCACUCCACAGGCCCAGACAUCUGUAGCUGCCAGUGAUGCUGACAGUCCCAGUGUAUGAGUACUGCAGCCCGAGGAGGCAGCUGGCCUUGAAUUUUUCAGGAAGAAAUGCAGGCCCAAGCGUUUUGAUGACUUCACCGACCGAACAAAGAAGAUCAGACUAGAUAAACAGGGGCUAGUUGCUGAACCACUGAGGAAGUGUGACCCACAGCAGGAGGAGAGCUUCCAUAAGUGGAUCAUCGGGAAGAUUGACAAUAAGAGAGACCGAAACGUGUAUACUGGGACGCACAGUGUGGCAUGGUUCUUACAGUUGCACACAAUCCAGACUUGGCUUUGGGAUUUGCAUAUUGAUGCCACUUUGCACAUGCUACGCCACUGACGCCACUUUUACCAUGCUGCAUUUCGGCAGGAUGCAGCGAUCAUGAACACCACCUUCCCCCAGGUGUGCCUAGGUCGUUGGAAUCAUUUCAGAGAGACUGGCACUAAGUAUACAUGGGACGACGAUGUGCUGAGAAUGUUGAAGGGCGAUGAUAAUCAAUUCCUUGUAUCAUGGAAAAAUGUGAGUGAAGUAUAUUUUUCCUUGCACGUCGAGAAAGCCGCACAUUGUAUCGCCAUUGAAGUCUCCAUUCCAACGUGGUGCAUCAACAUUUAUGAUUCCAACCAUAGUGUGCUCAGUCCCACUCUGAUGGAGGAAGCGAUCAAGCCUUGGUGCUUAUUGUUUCCUUCGUUGUUAUGGUGUUCUGGCAUGUUUGACGACCAUUAGGACCUCCAGGUGUAUCCUGAGCAGAAUGCAAACCCUUUUUCAUAUUGUUGUAUUCCUCCAGAGGAGUGUCCUCAGACUAAGACAAGUGGGGAUUGUGGUAUGUUUGCCAUCAAACAUAUCGAGCAUCUGGUUGCCAGGCUACCACUCGAUACUGUUAUCGAUGAGAACAUCCAGCAUUUCAGGACCAAGUGGUGUGUGGACCUGUUCUAUCAGAAUUUGGCCCCGUGAUGCUCUUUACAUUUUUGUCUUACACAUCUUGUAUAGUAUAGCUGUUAACCGAGUUUUUCGGCAACUAUAAUUAUGAAAGAUAAGAGAGCUUAAAAAGAAAGGAUUUCGAAAAUGCAAACAGGGUUUUUACGUGGUUGGGGCGUUAAUGAGCCUUAGUCCACGAGUCAUUUGUAUUAGAGCUUAGAGAGCUUUUGACAAUGGAGUUUUCUGCAAAUUUGAGCAGAGUAAUCGCUUACAAGCCAACCCUUCGGAUCCCCCCUACUGUGCACAACUGGCACUAUUUAUAGGCAGUCUUG